GACGAACGCUGGCGGCGUGCUUAACACAUGCCAGUCGAACGGAAAGGCCCUGCUUUUGUGGGGUGCUCGAGUGGCGAACGGGUGAGUAACACGUGAGUAACCUGCCCUUGACUUUGGGAUAACUUCAGGAAACUGGGGCUAAUACCGGAUAGGAGCUCCUGCUGCAUGGUGGGGGUUGGAAAGUUUCGGCGGUUGGGGAUGGACUCGCGGCUUAUCAGCUUGUUGGUGGGGUAGUGGCUUACCAAGGCUUUGACGGGUAGCCGGCCUGAGAGGGUGACCGGCCACCAUGGGCCUGAGAUACGGACCAGACUCCUACGGGAGGCAGCAGUGGAGAACAUUGCACAAUGGGCGGAAGCCUGAUGCAGCAACGCCGCGUGCGGGAUGACGGCCUUCGGGUUGUAAACCGCUUUCGCAUGUGACGAAGCGUGAGUGACGGUAAUGGGUAAAGAAGCACCGGCUAACUACGUG
rnacentral:rRNA from 1 species